UGACUGAGGCGACGUAUGGCUGCCGUCGCGUGCAACACGCAGACUCUCCAUGUACAGCACACAGUGCGACAUCUCACUUAGCUCUGUUUCCUGCAGGUUUGCUGACUUCAUAGAUGGAGCUGAGCUGCUGCUGCGACUCAACACCGGGGUUUGUUGAACAAGGAAAGCUGUGAUAGAUUUGAGUGUUUCACCGUGAUUUGUCAGGGACUUGGUGCACUUGUCAGUUGAAGAGCGAAUGUUCCUUUAUUGUGAUUCUGCGGGUGUUGAUGUUUUUUUUUGUGUGUGUGCAGAUUUAAGGCUCAUUUUUAGAUGCUGUACAUGUAUAAUUAGCCUAUAAUUAAACUUGUUGCAGACUAAAAGUGUGGCAGUGGAUCUUUACACAAGUUAGUUUGCUGUUGAGAGAAGUUGCAGUGCAACAGUGGGUGUCAGAGUCGGUUUUAAUUAUUCAUCUGUUGCUGUGACAUUACGAGGAUGAUUAUUAUGCUGUAGUAAUAAUUAUGCAUAAUUAUGUAUUGUGAUUAAGCUGAAUUGCACUCCUCAGUUUACUUGUGAUGUGGAAAGUUGUACAUGUUUUAUUGGAUAAUUGUCAUUAUUUGUGUGCACAUUUAAUGUGCACUAAAAUACUGACUAUAUUUCUGUAUUUGUCAGAGUCAGGCAAGAAUAAAGUCUAAAAAGUCUU